rnacentral:rRNA from 1 species
UGAGGAAUAUUGGUCAAUGGGCGAGAGCCUGAACCAGCCAAGUCGCGUGAAGGAUGACUGUCUUAUGGAUUGUAAACUUCUUUUAUACGGGAAUAACAAGAGUCACGUGUGACUCCCUGCAUGUACCGUAUGAAUAAGCAUCGGCUAACUCCGUGCCAGCAGCCGCGGUAAUACGGAGGAUGCGAGCGUUAUCCGGAUUUAUUGGGUUUAAAGGGUGCGUAGGCGGCCUGUUAAGUCAGCGGUGAAAUCUAGGAGCUUAACUCCUAAAUUGCCAUUGAUACUGGCGGGCUUGAGUGUAGAUGAGGUAGGCGGAAUGCGUGGUGUAGCGGUGGAAUGCAUAGAUAUCACGCAGAACUCCGAUUGCGAAGGCAGCUUACUAAGGUACAACUGACGCUGAAGCACGAAAGCGUGGGUAUCAAACAGGAUUAGAUACCCUGGUA